ACGCUCGACACCUACGGGAGGCAGCAGUGGGAAUAUUGCACAAUGGGGGAAACCCUGAUGCAGCGACGCCGCGUGAGUGAAGAAGUAUUUCGGUAUGUAAAGCUCUAUCAGCAGGGAAGAAGAUGACGGUACCUGAGUAAGAAGCCCCGGNUAACUACGUGCCAGCAGCCACGGUAAUCUGAGCGGGCUGGCAAGGC
rnacentral:rRNA from 1 species